AUUGAACGCUGGCGGCAGGCCUAACACAUGCAAGUCGAACGGUAACAGGAAACAGCUUGCUGUUUCGCUGACGAGUGGCGGACGGGUGAGUAAUGUCUGGGAAACUGCCUGAUGGAGGGGGAUAACUACUGGAAACGGUAGCUAAUACCGCAUAACGUCGCAAGACCAAAGAGGGGGACCUUCGGGCCUCUUGCCAUCGGAUGUGCCCAGAUGGGAUUAGCUAGUAGGUGGGGUAACGGCUCACCUAGGCGACGAUCCCUAGCUGGUCUGAGAGGAUGACCAGCCACACUGGAACUGAGACACGGUCCAGACUCCUACGGGAGGCAGCAGUGGGGAAUAUUGCACAAUGGGCGCAAGCCUGAUGCAGCCAUGCCGCGUGUAUGAAGAAGGCCUUCGGGUUGUAAAGUACUUUCAGCGGGGAGGAAGGGAGUAAAGUUAAUACCUUUGCUCAUUGACGUUACCCGCAGAAGAAGCAACGGCUAACUCCGUGCCAGCAGCCGCCGCAG
rnacentral:rRNA from 1 species